UACACUCCUGCGGGAGGCAGCAGUGGGGAAUUUUGGACAAUGGGCGAAAGCCUGAUCCAGCAAUGCCGCGUGAGUGAAGAAGGCCUUCGGGUUGUAAAGCUCUUUUGUCAGGGAAGAAACGGUGAGAGCUAAUAUCUUUUGCUAAUGACGGUACCUGAAGAAUAAGCACCGGCUAACUACGUGCCAGCAGCCGCGGUAAUACGUAGGGUGCAAGCGUUAAUCGGAAUUACUGGGCGUAAAGCGUGCGCAGGCGGUUUUGUAAGUCUGAUGUGAAAUCCCCGGGCUCAACCUGGGAAUUGCAUUGGAGACUGCAAGGCUAGAAUCUGGCAGAGGGGGGUAGAAUUCCACGUGUAGCAGUGAAAUGCGUAGAUAUGUGGAGGAACACCGAUGGCGAAGGCAGCCCCCUGGGUCAAGAUUGACGCUCAUGCACGAAAGCGUGGGGAGCAAACAGGAUUAGAUACCCUUGUAGUCCC
rnacentral:rRNA from 1 species